rnacentral:rRNA from 1 species
CCUACGGGGGGCAGCAGUGGGGAAUAUUGGACAAUGGGGGCAACCCUGAUCCAGCCAUGCCGCGUGUGUGAAGAAGGCCCUCGGGUUGUAAAGCACUUUCAGUGAGGAAGAACGCCUGGUGGUUAAUACCCAUCAGGAAAGACAUCACUCACAGAAGAAGCACCGGCUAACUCCGUGCCAGCAGCCGCGGUAAUACGGAGGGUGCGAGCGUUAAUCGGAAUUACUGGGCGUAAAGCGCGCGUAGGUGGCUUGAUAAGCCGGUUGUGAAAGCCCCGGGCUCAACCUGGGAACGGCAUCCGGAACUGUCAAGCUAGAGUGCAGGAGAGGAAGGUAGAAUUCCCGGUGUAGCGGUGAAAUGCGUAGAGAUCGGGAGGAAUACCAGUGGCGAAGGCGGCCUUCUGGACUGACAAUGACACUGAGGUGCGAAAGCGUGGGUAGCAAACAGGAUUAGAUACCCGUGUAGUC